rnacentral:lncRNA from 1 species
CUGAUUUUAUAUAAUCGGCAGGUUUGAAAUUACUCAAAAUGAAUGUUAUGCAGUUAAUAAAAAGUACUGCUAUCGGUAUAGUAACAUUUAAUGAAUUAUUAUUUUAUGCAUUUAUAUAUAUAUAGUAAUUCAUUACGGUGAAAUUUCAUUCAUAUUAAUUAGUUGCUAUAGCAAUAAUUGCAGUUUUAAUUUUAUCUAUUACUCUGGUGUACACAGAAUCCGGAUAUAUAUCGGAUAUGUAUUUAUGAUACCUUAUCUCGAUAUUGCAUCACUCCACAUUGACAUUUUUAAAAAAAUUCUUUUAUCUGUUAAUUUAAUAUUUCCCAGAAAGUUGAUUAUAAUCUUUAACAUCUUGUCUUGCGAUACCGUAGUGCGAAGAAAUGAUCCUCCAAAUCGUUAAUCAAAUUUAUAAAGUCGGUCGAAUGAUUGAUUAUAUGAUACAGCAUUGGCUUACUACCUGGAGGAUCGAAUUCAAUUCCUGUCUCACAUCUCCAAAUAUUUUUAAGAGUGAGCUGGAUUCGGCCUAUCCUGUUGAACUCCAAUCUUCAUCUUCCGACCUUACACACGAUGGAUGGACGAAAAUCAUCUGAUUUUUUCAAGCACAUCAGAAGAUUUACUAUAAUCUGAUGUGCUUGAAAGAAAGCGAACCAAGAAAGAUUCUAGAAUUCCAAAUAAUUAGAUUUUUGAAAAAAUUUCUUAAGUUUUUGAAUAAGUUUGAAAAUAUAUGCACGCAGGGGCGGCUUAUCAUUAGCGACUAGAGGGACUUAGACACACCAAUAAUUUUAUCAAACGAACCAAAAUACUCAUUGAAAAAAGCGUCUUGAUUAACAUAUUAUUUAUUUAUUUUCUUAUUCAAAUUAUUGUUAUAAAAAUAAUCAUU